rnacentral:lncRNA from 1 species
UUGCAUUGAAGUGGAACACCAGGCAAUUUGCAAGCACGAGGAAGAGAGAUGGCCAAUGUACGGUUGAUCGGUAUGCUGAAGGGAACGUUGCCGGUGACAACGAGACAUAAGCAGUCCCUGCCCCCACUUGUGAGGGAUUUGAUGGAGACGCAGCACUCUGCAGUAGGUGAGGUUCCAUUGCCACUGCUAUUUGUGAGGAAACUCAUGCAAGGGGUGAAGGAACUGCUGAUCGCUGAUACGUUACAUGGUGUGUUGAUCUGGGCGUAGCCCGGUGCAGCCAUGAAUAUAGCCAUGGCUAAUACCAAAGCUAGAGGCACAAAACGCUCCAUGUUCUAAAGUUCAGAGGUUUUGGCUAAGAAACUCAAUAAUCAAGAGAAUUAGUAGUGUUCAGAAGUAGAGAAGAAAAAAUGGAUUUGAAUUGGAGGUUUGAUAGUUUGAAAAGAGCAAGUAGGGGAACUUAAUUUAUAGAUAGUGUAUGAAGAAGAGAAGCAUAAGGAAAAUAAUAGGUGGCUUCAAAGUUGGUUCAAAAGCACAACUACCAUAACUAACCAAGGGGAAAUGAAAGAGUUUGAAGAAGAGGCUUGCAACCCCUAUAGUAUAGAACCCAUUUUGGCUAAUCCUGUUAAGCUUAACAAGUGGCAUAUGAAGCAUUCUACCCUAUUCAUCAGUGAAACAAACUGAACUACUGUUGGCUCAAAUUAUUGGCAUCUUUGAUAAUUAAUUAUCGAGUUGGUAAGUUUCAAGUCAAAUCAUUCUUUUUAGGUCAGCUGCUUGGGUGGAUAACCGAAUCCCAGUAGCAGUUAAUCAAUUCAAAUCCUGUAGAAUUUGGCUAGUUAAAUGCUUUGAUAGAUGCUGGAAUAAAUCUGUAACUAAAAAGCUUACCAUGUCAAUAGUCUGCUAGUUACCCUAGACAUAUUUACCAAUCCCCUCAUGUGUAAGUAUUAACCAUUGUGAAAACUGAUUUUGAUAGAAUUAAUUUUGGUAAAAUUGGUUAUGGAGAAAUCAGUUGAAAGUAAAGUUAUUUAUGUUUGUAUACGCUUAUAGGACAUGUCACAAUUUAUUAUGUCUAUCGCAAAAGUUAUUCUCUUAACUUCUCACAAAAUUGAUUUUGGGACUAAAAUUAAUUUUCUAUAUAAGCACCAUGAAGGGAUUCUAAUAGAUGAAAAUUGAUUCUAAGACUCCCCAAACCUGGAGACACGUUAUUGUCACUCUGUUAAGACACCUGGAUUUUUUUUUCUUUGGUCAUAUUUUUCAGUCAGCAGUUUUUAAUAUAUUAAAGAUGAAUCAUAAAGCUAGAAAAGACGCUUCUAAAACCCUCAGAUGCCAAAAGUUGGUGAUCCGUCUAACCGACCUGACUUUAGAAAUUUCCAUGUAAUAUCAUAAUUAUUCAACAAAGGUCCCACGAGGAAGAGAGAUGGCCAAUGUACGGUUGAUCGGUAUGCUGAAGGGAACGUUGCCGGUGACAACGAGACAUAAGCAGUCCCUGCCCCCACUUGUGAGGGAUUUGAUGGAGUCGCAGCACUCUGCAGUAGGUGAGGUUCCAUUGCCACUGCUAUUUGUGAGGAAACUCAUGCAAGGGGUGAAGGAAGUGCUUAUCGCUGAUACGUUACAUGGUGUGUUGAUCUGGGCGUAGCCCGGUGCAGCCAUGAAUAUAGCCAUGGCUA